rnacentral:tRNA from 2 species
GGGCCCAUAGCUCAGCUGGUUAGAGCAGCGGACUCAUAAUCCGUUGGUCCUAGGUUCAAGUCCUAGUGGGCCCACCA